GACGUAGGGCGCGAGCGUUGUCCGGAUUUAUUGGGCGUAAAGAGCUCGUAGGCGGCUUGUCGCGUCGUCCGUGAAAACUUGGGGCUCAACCCCAAGCUUGCGGUCGAUACGGGCAGGCUAGAGUUCGGUAGGGGAGACUGGAAUUCCUGGUGUAGCGGUGAAAUGCGUAGAUAUCGUGAGGAACACCAAUUGCGAAGGCAGCUCGCUGGGACGUUACUGACGCUGAGA
rnacentral:rRNA from 1 species